rnacentral:rRNA from 1 species
AACGAACGCUGGCGGCGGGCUUAACACAUGCAAGUCGAGCGCCCCGCAAGGGGAGCGGCAGACGGGUGAGUAACGCGUGGGAAUCUACCGUGCCCUACGGAAUAGCUCCGGGAAACUGGAAUUAAUACCGUAUACGCCCUACGGGGGAAAGAUUUAUCGGGGUAUGAUGAGCCCGCGUUGGAUUAGCUAGUUGGUGGGGUAAAGGCCUACCAAGGCGACGAUCCAUAGCUGGUCUGAGAGGAUGAUCAGCCACAUUGGGACUGAGACACGGCCCAAACUCCUACGGGAGGCAGCAGUGGGGAAUAUUGGACAAUGGGCGCAAGCCUGAACCAGCCAUGCCGCGUGAGUGAUGAAGGUCUUAGGAUUGUAAAGCUCUUUCACCGAUGAAGAUAAUGACGGUAGUCGGAGAAGAAGCCCCGGCUAACUUCGUGCCAGCCGCCGCCGUAAGAC